rnacentral:misc_RNA from 1 species
CGCAUGAGCAAGAGGACAAUUACUGUCCUCGAGUCAACACAGGGCACGUCAGGCUUCCAUAAGGGACAAUUGAUUCAGGCAAAAAGGGACAAAGUCCCCAACCGAUCAUUGCUUCUACAUACAAGACUUCGGACAACACAUGGGCGUCCAAUGCCUGCUAGCUAAAUAAGCAAAGCAAGGGCGGACGUGCAUGGUUGAUUCAGGGUCUAGGUCGCACAACAUUUUAGCGCAAGAUAAAGAAGGGAACAUGGGACUGGAGAAUUCCGUCAAAAUAGGUAUGCUGCACAGGGGGCCAAGCCAAUCCAAGGUAAAUGGUUUACACUUGAACAAAAUUGAACAGGUGUGAACCAGCGAUUGUCGCUGCCAAGGCAGGGAACCAACCAACCGGAACAUACC